CUACACACAUACAGCUCACACACACACAGUACACUAACCGCACCCUCACAAACACACACAGCACCUUUAAAAAAAAAUGCAACACCCUCACACACAGCACACUAACAGCACCCCCACAAACACACACACACAAACAGCAUCCUCACAAAUACACGACACUCAAACAGCACCCUCACAGGACAAACAUACACACACAAACAGCGCAGUCACAAACACACACACACACACCCUCACAUCACACUAACAGCACCCUCACAUCACACUAACAGCACCCUCACACACACAUCACACUAACAGCACAC